UAGGGAAUCUUCCGCAAUGGGCGAAAGCCUGACGGAGCAACGCCGCGUGAGUGAUGAAGGUCUUCGGAUCGUAAAACUCUGUUAUUAGGGAAGAACAAAUGUGUAAGUAACUAUGCACGUCUUGACGGUACCUAACCAGAAAGCCACGGCUAACUACGUGCCAGCAGCCGCGGUAAUACGUAGGUGGCAAGCGUUAUCCGGAAUUAUUGGGCGUAAAGCGCGCGUAGGCGGUUUUUUAAGUCUGAUGUGAAAGUCCACGGCUCAACCGUGGAGGGUCAUUGGAAACUGGAGACCUUGAGUGCAGAAGAGGAGAGUGGAAUUCCAUGUGUAGCGGUGAAAUGCGCAGAGAUAUGGAGGAACACCAGUGGGGAAGGCGACUUUCUGGUCUGUAACUGACGCAGAUGUGCGAAAGCGUGGGGAUCAAACAGG
rnacentral:rRNA from 1 species